UACGUAGGGGGCAAGCGUUGUCCGGAAUCAUUGGGCGUAAAGCGCGUGUAGGCGGUUCGGUAAGUCUGCUGUGAAAGUCCAGGGCUCAACCCUGGGAUGCCGGUGGAUACUGUCGGACUAGAGUACGGAAGAGGCGAGUGGAAUUCCCGGUGUAGCGGUGAAAUGCGCAGAUAUCGGGAGGAACACCAAUGGCGAAGGCAGCUCGCUGGGACGGUACUGACGCUGAGACGCGAAAGCGUGGGGAGUAAACAGG
rnacentral:rRNA from 1 species